GAUAAAGAGUUUUAUCAGUAUGAUCCACUAUUUAACAUUUUUGAAACAUCUAUAGUAUUACCAAUUAUUAAAUUAAAAAAUGAUUUAUUAUGUAUAAGUGAAAAUAAACAAAUAAAUAGAUUAAGAGAAGAAAAAAAGAAGCAAAAGCAGGAACAAACAGGAGAAAAAAUAGGGAGAAAAAGGCAGACUGAUAAAGAAACAGAAAACAAUAAAAAUGAUGUAAUAAAUGACAAUGAAGUUAAUUCAAUUUUAUUAAGAAGUAAAGCUUUUAAUGAGACAUGGAAAAAUAUUAACGGUUUUUUGGAUUGUUAUAUUUACAACUAUGUAAAUGAUAUGGUAAACAACGAGAUAAAUAAUUUGAAUAAAAAUAUAUGCUUAAAAAAUGAUACAGUAUGUUUAGCCAUUGUAAGAACACAGACAUGUGACUUUGUUAAUAUGUUACAGUAUAAGAUUAUAUGUGAUCAGCUAGCUUUUAUAAAUGGUGGUGAAAAAGAAGAAAAAGGAAAAAAAAAUGGAGGUAGAAGAGAAAUAGAAGAAGGAGGAGAAGUAGGAUGUCAGGAAAAUGUAUGUGAACAUAUUCACAAACAUACAUUUUUUUACGAAAAUAGCAAUAAAGAACUUAUUUUAUGCUCUGAGUUAAAAAGUCGUAAAACUAUAGUUUCGUGUAUAAUAAAUGUCUAUAGUAGUGAUAGUAUUGAUAGCAUUAUUAUAAGAAUUUUAAAAAAUAUAAGUGAUCAUAAGAAACCAUUAAAAAUAGAUCAUAAUAAUAUGCAUAGUUUGUUUCAAACUAUAGUAAAAAAAAAGAAACACAUGGUUUUGAUUAUAUUUAUAAAAAAUUACAUAAAUAUAAAAUCAUCUAUAUUCAGUGCUUUAUUAUUAUAUUUAACACAUAUAAAAGAUACAAAUUUAAUUAAUAUAGGUGUAAUAGUAACAAAUAGUAGUAUAUUAUCAGCUUUGAACAAUUUGGAUUUUAUGAUAAAAAAACAUGUGAAUGUUACUAUUUGUAAUAUGUAUAUAAAUUAUUAUCAUUUAUUAGAACAUAUUAUAUUUAAUCCAUUAUUAUUACAUAACGUUUUAUAUAGGUUAAAGAGUUACCAAUUGAUUUUGGAUUAUAUUUAUUAUUAUAAUAGUGAUAUCACUUUUUUAAAAAUAAAAUAUUUUAUUUAUAUGUUUUUACGAGAUUUUUAUGAUAAAAAAAUUUUAUCUUUUUUAAGUAUUUCUUUAACAUAUUUUAGUAACACUCAAACGGGUGGUACUAAAAAGGGUGCGAAAAAGAAAUAUACGAACGAAAAUGCAUUAAAAGUGGUAUUAAAAAAAGAGUAUGAAAAAUCGUUUAA
rnacentral:lncRNA from 1 species